AACGAACGCUGGCGGCAGGCUUAACACAUGCAAGUCGAGCGCCCCGCAAGGGGAGCGGCAGACGGGUGAGUAACGCGUGGGAAUCUACCCAUCUCUACGGAAUAACGCAUGGAAACGUGGGCUAAUACCGUAUACGUCCUUCGGGCGAAAGAUUUAUCGGAGAUGGAUGAGCCCGCGUGGGAUUAGCUAGUUGGUGGGGUAAAGGCCUACCAAGGCGACGAUCCAUAGCUGGUCUGAGAGGAUGAUCAGCCACACUGGGACUGAGACACGGCCCAGACUCCUACGGGAGGCAGCAGUGGGGAAUAUUGGACAAUGGGCGCAAGCCUGAUCCAGCCAUGCCGCGUGAGUGAUGAAGGCCCUAGGGUUGUAAAGCUCUUUCACCGGUGAAGAUAAUGACGGUAACCGGAGAAGAAGCCCCGGCUAACUUCGUGCCAGCCGCCGCAGUAAAAC
rnacentral:rRNA from 1 species